UACGUAGGGUGCAAGCGUUAAUCGGAAUUACUGGGCGCAAAGCGUGCGCAGGCGGUUAUGUAAGACAGAUGUGAAAUGCCCGGGCUUAACCUGGGAACUGCAUUGGUGACUGGCAGGCUUUGAGUGUGGCAGAGGGAGGUAGAAUUCCACGUGUAGCAGUGAAAUGCGUAGAGAUGUGGAGGAAUACCGAUGGCGAAGGCAGCCUCCUGGGCCAACACUGACGCUCAUGCACGAAAGCGUGGGGAGCAAACAGG
rnacentral:rRNA from 1 species